rnacentral:rRNA from 1 species
GUUGGGAAUCUUGCGCAAUGGGCGAAAGCCUGACGCAGCGACGCCGCGUGCGGGAUGACGAGCUUCGGCUUGUAAACCGCUUUUCUCGGGGACGACAUCCGACGGUACCCGAGGAAUCAGCCCCGGCUAACUCCGUGCCAGCAGCCGCGGUAAGACGGGGGGGGCGAGCGUUGUCCGGAAUUACUGGGCGUAAAGGGCGCGUAGGCGGUCGCGUACGGCGGUGGUGAAAGCUCCCGGCUCAACUGGGAGAGGUCCGCCGCAACGGCGCGACUCGAGGGUGGUAGAGGCGGAUGGAAUUCCUGGUGUAACGGUGAAAUGUGUAGAGAUCAGGAGGAACACCCGUGGCGAAGGCGGUCCGCUGGGCCAUGCCUGACGCUGAGGCGCGAAAGCCAGGGGAGCGAACGGGAUUAGAAACCCGUGUAGUCC